rnacentral:misc_RNA from 1 species
GCAAACUUGGUCAUUUAGAGGAAGUAAAAGUCGUAACAAGGUUUCCGUAGGUAAACCUGCGGAAGGAUCAUUACAAGGUAUCAAAAAAAAUGUCGCAAAUCGCGGCAUGGUAACCAUGAUCAUCCACCUGUGUGCACUUAUUCCGGGGGGGCGAGAGGCUCUCUCUCUUUGUCUUUGCCGUUUGUCUGAUGUAUCAAAUGCUUGAUAAAUUAAUACAACUUUCAACAACGGAUUUCUUGGCUCUCGCAUCGAUGAAGAACGCAGC